rnacentral:lncRNA from 1 species
AGAGGAGGAAAAGCUUGCGGGACGAUGACGAACCUAAACACUGUUCUUCUCUGCUGUCUGGAAAUAUUUCAUCCGAUUUCACCCAGCAUGGACUGGGCUGCUACAGUCUGCGGGGAAGGAGAGGAGGAAAACCGAUUAACCAACAAAUAAUUUGAACGAUGAAGAAGUUCCCUCUCGCUACUCCCUCCAUAUUGGAAGCCAUGGGCUCUGUGACGUCUGCCAUGACCAGACGGACCAGACACGCGUUGGUCAAAGUUGGUUCAGAACCCGAACACGAGACUGACCGGAGCCUCUCCGCCCCGAAGUCCGACCGCGGGAGGAAGAGGAGCGUGCGCCUCGAUGUCUCUUCCUCGAACCAGAUCGGACGGCAGAGAACGAGACAGUCGCUGUCCGAGGAGCUGAACUCGCCAGAUGUUGGUGACGGAAGGGUGGGGAGCGCUGUCGAGCCCUCUGGUAACGGGCUUUACGCCUGUUAGUUCAUAUGCCUUGCAACCGAGAGAUAAAGCCCCACGGCCGAAACAAUAAGACACAGUGGCAGAAUACAUUCAACAACACAUUUGUUUCAUCACCAAACCGGAGAGCGACAUCUGUCCGGUGAAGUAAACAAAUCGUAAUGCAUAUAACAACCAGUUACAUGACCUACAGCACCGUCAAACAGGGUCAUGUUUCCGGCAUUUUGGGACAAAACAAUUAU